AUUGAACGCUGGCGGCAUGCCUUACACAUGCAAGUCGAACGGUAACAGGUCUUCGGAUGCUGACGAGUGGCGAACGGGUGAGUAAUACAUCGGAACGUGCCUAGUAGUGGGGGAUAACUACUCGAAAGAGUGGCUAAUACCGCAUGAGAUCUACGGAUGAAAGCAGGCGAUCGCAAGACCUUGUGCUACUAGAGCGGCCGAUGGCCGAUUAGGUAGUUGGUGGGAUAAAAGCUUACCAAGCCGACGAUCUGUAGCUGGUCUGAGAGGACGAUCAGCCACACUGGGACUGAGACACGGCCCAGACUCCUACGGGAGGCAGCAGUGGGGAAUUUUGGACAAUGGGCGAAAGCCUGAUCCAGCAAUGCCGCGUGCAGGAUGAAGGCCUUCGGGUUGUAAACUGCUUUUGUACGGAACGAAAAGCCCCGGGUUAAUACCCUGGGGUCAUGACGGUACCGUAAGAAUAAGCACCGGCUAACUACGUGCCAGCAGCCGCAGUAA
rnacentral:rRNA from 1 species